rnacentral:lncRNA from 1 species
UCAGGAAGAUGUAGUUGUUAGAAAUACUUAGUGCAGCCAGUGGAGUUAAGGACUUUCCCUAUGUAAAGUCUUUCAGUGUGAACUUGUCUUUCAGGACUGUAGAUAAAGCCCACGUCUUUCCCAAUCACCAGAGUAACAGAGACAAAAUCCAGAAACUACCUUUGAGGUGUAUGCAGAAGUGACCCACUCAGGAAUCAGUUGCAUUGGGAAAGAUCCUGAGGUGCGGAGGCAAUUCCCAGAGGGCUACAGUGACCAGGUUUGGAAUGCGUAAUUAAUUUUUUACAUGACAAAAUUUAUUUCAGGGUUGUUCAACAUAUUAUUGCUGCUCUUUUUACUGAAAGAGAUAAAUGCAUUCU